rnacentral:rRNA from 1 species
GAUGAACGCUGGCGGCGUGCUUAACACAUGCAAGUCGAACGAAGCUGUUAUUUGGAGACCUUCGGGUGGAAGAAUAACAGACUGAGUGGCGGACGGGUGAGUAACGCGUGGGUAACCUACCUUGCACAGGGGGACAACAGUUGGAAACGACUGCUAAUACCGCAUAAGACCACAGUACCGCAUGGUACAGGGGUAAAAACUGAGGUGGUGCAAGAUGGACCCGCGUCUGAUUAGCUAGUUGGUGGGGUAAAGGCCUACCAAGGCGACGAUCAGUAGCCGACCUGAGAGGGUGAUCGGCCACAUUGGGACUGAGACACGGCCCAAACUCCUACGGGAGGCAGCAGUGGGGAAUAUUGGACAAUGGGGGGAACCCUGAUCCAGCGACGCCGCGUGAGUGAAGAAGUAUUUCGGUAUGUAAAGCUCUAUCAGCAGGGAAGAAAAUGACGGUACCUGACUAAGAAGCCCCGGCUAACUACGUGCCAGCAGCCGCGGUAAUACGUAGGGGGCAAGCGUUAUCCGGAUUUACUGGGUGUAAAGGGAGCGCAGACGGCUUGGCAAGUCUGAAGUGAAAGCCCGGGGCUUAACCCCGGGACUGCUUUGGAAACUGUGAAGCUAGAGUGUCGGAGAGGUAAGUGGAAUUCCCAGUGUAGCGGUGAAAUGCGUAGAUAUUGGGAGGAACACCGGUGGCGAAAGCGGCUUACUGGACGAUAACUGACGUUGAGGCUCGAAGGCGUGGGGAGCAAACAGG